rnacentral:rRNA from 1 species
AAACGACUGCUAAUACCGCAUACGAUCCAAUCUCGGCAUCGAGGAUGGAUGAAAGGUGGCCUCUAUUUAUAAGCUAUCACUGAAGGAGGGGAUUGCGUCUGAUUAGCUAGUUGGAGGGGUAACGGCCCACCAAGGCAAUGAUCAGUAGCCGGUCUGAGAGGAUGAACGGCCACAUUGGGACUGAGACACGGCCCAG